CCCAGGAAAAGAAGUCUGAGAUCUGAGAGCAUCGGGAGUACCAAUUCAUUAUCUCCAUUAUCUCGCUAGAUCCUCUUAAGAACCCAGUGAGAUGAGAGCAUCAACACUAUGCCUCUGCUGCAGUUUCUCCCUGGAACUUCCCUCAGCUCCUGGCACCUCCUCACCAUGAAACAUCCAUAUGCCAUGCCAAGCCCCUUCUCUGAUUGGGUGACAGUCGAGGUGUUGCCGAGAGAAGACUGCAGCCUGUCUGAGGCCCUGGGAUGUUGACCUCAGUGGAUGGAUGACCCCUGGAUGGGUAAAAAAACCUCUGGACUUGGAGUGAGAAGACCCAGGUUCUAAUCCUACUUCUGAUACUGUGUGGUCUUGAGCACAGUCCUUUAAAGUCUCUGAUAUUCAUUUUCUUUAUCAAGUGACGAAUUGGACUGGAUGACUUCUAAGGACCCUUCCGGCUUUGCCAUUUUAUGACCAUUUUGCUGGAAACUGCUUUUGUGUUGUUAGGCAGACAGCUGGAGUCUGGGGUGGGGAGAGGACCAACUCCUCUUGUUAUUUUCUGUUCUCAUCCCCCUUCUCCCUCUAAUGCCCCAGCUCUCUAUAAGAAGAACGAAAAGGCGAAAGAAAAUCAAUGCGGACGACUCUCAUUCUUCUGUUCUCCUGCCAAACUGCCGCUGCUGGCUCUGGCCAGGAGAGGUCAGCCUGGGGUUGGGAAUGUUGGAAUGGGGACUUCUGAGACUUAGGGUCUCAGGAACCCCAGGGUUGAGGGCAGGAACUAGAAAAGAUAGGAAACUGAAUGAGCACCAUGAAGAUGGGGUGAAGCCCAAGACUUCUUGUCCAAGGCCCUCGGGGAUCACUGGGUGAGUUUACCUGAGGACCGAACUGAAGAAUGAAAAUUAAAUUCAGUGAGUCAUCUAGAUGUUUUGUCUAGCAGACUGAACAUUCCAAUGCUAUUUUUUUGUAUGUGUUUUUUUUCCCCCUUUUCAUCUGGAUGUUGGCACAGAGAUGGUGAUGUAUUUAAGAGGUAGUGGUUAUGGUACGUGAAGGGAAGGAAACUUUAUCCCUAAGCAUACAGUCCACAUU